rnacentral:pre_miRNA from 4 species
UCUCAUGGAUGAGCAAAGAAGGUGGUUUCUAUUCCUGAUGGAAACUAUUCCUGGUGAAGAUGCUGUGAA